rnacentral:rRNA from 1 species
UACGGGGGGGGGCAAGCGUUGUUCGGAAUUACUGGGCGUAAAGGGUCUGUAGGUGGCUUGCUAAGUCAGACGUGAAAUCCCUCAGCUUAACUGGGGAACUGCGUCGGAUACUGGAUGGCUUGAAUUCGGGAGAGGGAUGCAGAAUUCCAGGUGUAGCGGUGAAAUGCGUAGAUAUCUGGAGGAAUACCGGUGGCGAAGGCGGCAUCCUGGACCGACAUUGACGCUGAGGAGCGAAAGCUAGGGGAGCAAACGGG